GUUUCUGGCUUGCAGAUGUCUGCCUUCCCACGGUGCCCUCGCAUGUAUUGGAGGUGUUUCCAUUUUGAAACCACAUCUCUUAACUAAACGAGUUGAUUAGAGAAAUGAGCAAAUUAACAAGGUCAAAAGAAGGUCUUGCCCUGAAGGCACAGACUUGAAGUGUUCAGCUGAUGGAGAGCUGAAUGCCAUGACAACCAGGUGCCAAGGAACUUCAGAAUCUCCAAAUGGAAGUCUCCAAAGCCCCUGAUUCACCAGAAAGAGAGAAAACCAUCCACUGGCCACCACACUGUUAUAUGAGCAGAACACAAACUCCUGUUGUGUUUGAGCCUGUAAACAUUCUGGGCAGCAGAUUAUCCUCUUUAACAUACAAAAUGAUGCCUCAAAU
rnacentral:lncRNA from 10 species